rnacentral:rRNA from 1 species
UACGGAGGGUGCGAGCGUUGUUCGGAAUCAUUGGGCGUAAAGGGCGUGUAGGCGGUUUGCUAAGUCAUGUGUGAAAGCCCUCGGCUUAACCGAGGAACGACGCAUGAAACUGGCAAGCUAGAGUACCAAAGAGGGGGGUGGAAUUCCCGGUGUAGCGGUGAAAUGCGUAGAGAUCGGGAAGAAUACCUGUGGCGAAGGCGGCCAGCUGGGCCAGAUCCGACACUGAGGCGCGAAAGCGUGGGGAGCAAACGGG